UCAAUGUCUAAAAAAAUUCAGUGCAAAAAAAUUCAAUGUCUAAAAAAAUUCAGUGCAAAAAAAUUCGACGUCUCGAAAAAUUCGGUGUAAAAAAAUUCGACGUCUCAAAUUCAGUGUCCAAAAUUCGGAGUCAGAAAUUCGCAGGCAACAUCCGGGUAACUACGUCCCUACGGAAGCCCUAAAAGGACAAGAUUGAUUUUUUUUUUUUUUUUCGGCGAACCGGAAAUCACGGGCUUUCGCCAGACAGCCACGCUCCGCUGCCCCGGACCGCAGACAGAGAGCAGGACGAGCUGCAGCCUUCCAAAGAACGGCAACAACCUCACCAAAUUCACCAGAAGGAGCUGGAUGUCGUGAUGAGAAUGUGGAAUACCCAGGGGAUCCAGCCAGGCACUAAAGGACACGAUGUGUUCCAUGGAAAACCUUUCCUCUGUAUCAUGAACCAGAACUUCACCAAGCACAGGACGACCUCCAGCCAGUGGACAGAGGGAACAUUGUCUUGGAGGACAUCUGUCUUUGGAAACCUGACUUUGUCUGUGAUCCAGAUCUUCACCAGCUCUGCCUUGUGGUCAUGAACAAAGUGAAUCUUGAGGCAGGUCAUAAGGCUGCUGGUAACCAGACUGUACAGACAGCUGAGGUUUUAAUGAGAGCACGGCUGUCAGAGUCAGAUUAACCCCCACCUACCAAAACUGUUCUCACAACAGCUAUUGUUAAAAAAUGUAGCCUACUGUGUUGAGCACACUUCCAUUUCCAGUGUUUUAUACACACCUGUUUUCUGAUUGUCUCUUUUUACGGUGUUUGUAUGAAUUAUUCCAUGGAUGCCUUGGAACAAAUAAAUGUGUUUAAUUUUAAUGUGGGAUGUUUGCAUGUCCUCUAAGUCCAACUAUGCUUCACAAAUAUCCACAGUUUCUAAAAGAAAAAAUCCAUUAUUCCAUUGUAUAUGCUUAA